UACGUAGGUGGCAAGCGAUACUCGGAAUCACUAGGCGUAAAGCGCAGGUAGGCGGUUUGGUAAGUCUUUUGUGAAAGCUCCCGGCUCAACUGGGAGAGGUCAAGGGAAACUACCGGACUAGAGUGUGGUAGGGGAUACUGGAAUUCCUGGUGUAGCGGUGAAAUGCGUAGAGAUCCGGAGGAACACCAAAGGCGAAGGCAGUGUCCUGGGGAGUACCUGACGCUCAGGUGCGAAAGCCAGGGGAGCGAACGGG
rnacentral:rRNA from 1 species